UACGGGGGGAACAAGCGUUGUUCGGAUUUACUGGGCGUAAAGGGCGCGUAGGCGGCAUGACAAGUCACUUGUGAAAUCUCCGGGCUUAACUCGGAACGGCCAAGUGAAACUGUCAAGCUAGAGUGCAGAAGGGGCAAUCGGAAUUCUUGGUGUAGCGGUGAAAUGCGUAGAUAUCAAGAGGAACACCUGAGGUGAAGACGGGUUGCUGGGCUGACACUGACGCUGAGGCGCGAAAGCCAGGGGAGCAAACGGG
rnacentral:rRNA from 1 species